CUCUGUGGUUCACAAGCAUGGGGAUUGGGUUUGCCCACUGUUGUCUGGGAGACACCUCCCUCAAACCUUGUUACCACAUUGGCACAUUACCCACCUGAC
rnacentral:snoRNA from 1 species